GCCUAAAGUCUAGCUUAUAUAAACCACAUAAAUACUCUAAUACCCUAUCUUUAAUAACCAAAACAUUUUAAAUAUUUAGUAUUGGCGAUAGAACUAUAAACAAAAGCUAUAGAUUUAGUACCGUAAGGGAAAGAUGAAAUAGAAAUGAAAAACUACCACAAGCAAAAAAUAGCAGAGAUUUAACCUCGUACCUUUUGCAUCAUGGUCUAGCCAGUCAUACUCAAGCAAAAAGCUAUUUAAGUUUGACUACCCGAAACUAAGCGAGCUACUCCGGGGCAGCUUAUAGAGCAAAUCCGUCUCUGUGGCAAAAGAGUGGAGAGACCCCUAAGUAGAGGUGAUAGACCUAACGAGCUUAGUGAUAGCUGGUUGCUCGAGAAAAGAGUAUAAGCUCUAUCUUAAAAAAUGUUUAUAACAGCCUAAGUGUAAAACACCUAUUAAGACCUAUUCAAUCUGGGUACAGCCAAAUUGAAAAAGGGUACAACCUAAAAUAAUGGGUUAAGACUAUAUUCUCUAAGGAAAAUAAUCUCAGUGGGCCUAAAAGCAGCCACCUGUGAAGAAAGCGUCAAAGCUCAUCACAAAUCAUUCCAAUAAUUACAGCAUUUUAAUCUAAACCCAACAACAAUAUCGAGCUACUCCAUGACCUCAUGGAAGAACUUAUGCUAGAACUAGUAACCAGGAUAAAACAUCCUCCUAAUGUAAGUGUAAAACAGAACGAAUUUAUCACCGUUAAUCAACGCCCUUAAUGAAAAAACUGCAACAACAAAACAAGAAAAACCUGCUCAUACCAAGCGUUAACCUAACACAAGAACAUCAAAGGAAAGACAAAAAAAUAAGAAAGGAACUCGGCAAACAUUGAAUCUCGCCUGUUUACCAAAAACAUCGCCUCUUGCAAAUAAACAAGCAUAAGAGGUCUAGCCUGCCCAGUGACAAACUGUUCAACGGCCGCGGUAUUCUGACCGUGCAAAGGUAGCGUAAUCACUUGUCUUUUAAAUAAAGACUGGUAUGAAAGGCACCACGAGGAUUCAACUGUCUCUCUUAUUUAGUCAGUGAAACUGAUCUUCCAGUGCAGAAGCUGGAAUAACUACACAAGACGAGAAGACCCUAUGGAGCUUUAAACACAAGUCACUUACCCUAUUUUUUCAAUCAAAAGAUAAAACUUACUUAAUUGAGUAUGAAUGACCUAGCGUUUUUGGUUGGGGCGACCACGGAGAAUAAAAAAUCCUCCGAGAAGAAAGGACAACAUCCUAAAAAAAGAACGACAGUUCUAAAUAUCAGAAUAUCUGACCUGCUUGAUCCAGUCUUACUGAUCAACGAACCAAGUUACCCUAGGGAUAACAGCGCAAUCUGCUUAGAAAGUUCAUAUCGACAAGUAGGUUUACGAC
rnacentral:rRNA from 1 species